rnacentral:tRNA from 1 species
CAGAGUGUGGCCGAGAUAGUUAGGCGACUCCCUUACACUGAGUAAACAUCCAUGCAAGUUGGAUCACCCUGA